CGGUCCGCGGCUAUCCCGCCGUACGCCUGAUUCCGCGAUGCCGCGUGCGGGAUGAAGGCCUUCGGGUUGUAAACCGCUUUCAGCAGGAAAGAAACUGACGGGACCUGUAAAAUAAGGAGCGGCCACUAUGUGCCAGCAGCCGCGGUAAUCA
rnacentral:rRNA from 1 species